GGGCGAUUAGCUCAGUUGGCUAGAGCGCCUCCCUUACAAGGAGGAGGUCGUCGGUUCAAGUCCGGCAUCGCCCA
rnacentral:tRNA from 1 species